rnacentral:rRNA from 1 species
GACGAACGCUGGCGGCGUGCUUAACACAUGCAAGUCGAACGGAAAGGCCCUGCUUUUGUGGGGUGCUCGAGUGGCGAACGGGUGAGUAACACGUGAGUAACCUGCCCUUGACUUUGGGAUAACUUCAGGAAACUGGGGCUAAUACCGGAUAGGAGCUCCUGCUGCAUGGUGGGGGUUGGAAAGUUUCGGCGGUUGGGGAUGGACUCGCGGCUUAUCAGCUUGUUGGUGGGGUAGUGGCUUACCAAGGCUUUGACGGGUAGCCGGCCUGAGAGGGUGACCGGCCACAUUGGGACUGAGAUGAGGCCCAGACUCCUACGGGAGGCAGCAGUGGGGAAUAUUGCACAAUGGGCGGAAGCCUGAUGCAGCAACGCCGCGUGCGGGAUGACGGCCUUCGGGUUGUAAACCGCUUUCGCCUGUGACGAAGCGUUAGUGACGGUAAUGGGUAAAGAAGCACCGGCUAACUACGUG